CAUUUUAUAUUAUUUUUAUAGAGAUAAUAAGACAAAAAUGAAUAGUAAUAUAAAAUGUUAACGUGGCUUAAUCAUAACCAUACAAACAGGAGGGCACGGGAAGUGGGAGGGCAGAGAAUCUACCUCCUUUGCAAAUAGAGGCUGGAACUUAACAUCUAACAAUCUCAAUUGCUUCAAUAUUAGUAGUAAUGAUAAUUUUCUGGAUGAGUUAGAUGCUUUACACUCAAACGAUGAUGGCUGUCUCUCUGAGCUUAGUAAAGCUCUUCUUAACUGUUGACAAAUCUGGACGGAAAGAAUAAUUUAGCUAUCAAGGGUGUGCCACCGAUCCCCACGCUAUGUGCGUCAUUCUCAAUUGUAUACCAGAUGAUGCUCUUCCAACUUUUCAUUUUGAUUGUAUUGGAAACGGUUGUACUAUAGGUUUCGUUCUUUAAUGAAGUUUCUUUCCCAUAAAAUAUUAUUUCAAUCCUGAUACAAAUUAAGCAAAUUCGUCGCUUGGACAUAUUUAAAGCCUACAAUACAAACCAAAUAAAAUAGCUACUGCAGUGAUGGAGGUUAAGCAACUCGACCGGCAUAACGCAUGUUGAAGAUGUCAUCGUGUCGGAAUCGAUCUCAUCAACAUUAAAGUCCAUUUUCAUUUAUAAAAAAUUAUGAAAAUAUUAAUAAUAAUAUUAGUAUUAAUUAGAAAAUUAUUAUUAAAUUUGAACUGACACUUACAGAUAUCUCAUUCAAUAACGUUAUUUUCAUCUCUUCCGACAUUUUUGUCUAGGAGCAUUACUCCAUAGGGCAAUGGGUCCACACUAGCGACCUUAUGCGGUGCACCAGCUUCCUGUGCACCUUCGUCGUACAAGCUGUAUGCCUCAUGGGAUCAUAGUUGAUGCGUAUCUGGUCAUUAAUCAGACGUCUGACCAUACGAGACCCUCUAUUUUUCCUUGCGAAAGAAAAAAAAAUCAAAGCCAAACAUAAAAUUCUACCGAAAAAUGGGUAUAAUCUCCCCUAAAAUUAUAACACUCUCAUAACUUGAUGUUUGGGCCCAAAAUAGUAUUGUUGGGCUGAGUUCAGGUUUGUCCUCGGACCAGGACCCUUCCAAAAGUACUAUGGGCCGUUUGACUGCCAUUAGCCGCCCAAUUAGGUCAGCCGAGUCCUAUUGUAAGAAGGAUUGAUUUGGAUAAGGGCAAAGAAGUCGAGUCCUGGUGCAACAAGAGGACUCAGAGUGGAAGGCCCUGAGAACUUGGGAAUGAAUUUGAUUCGUUAUAGAGCUUGGUUCAGAAACCUAUUAAAACUAGGAUUGGCCAAAUCCUAACCAGAUUAGAUUUGGGAGUUCUAAUCCUAAUAUGUUUCUAGUUCGGCCAUAGGGGUUCUCGCUGCUAUAAAUAAAGGAGGGAGUGGAUCAUUCAAGCUCUCUCCAAUUCAACACAAAAACUGCUUCGCGCAAACUCUUGCUCUACUCGAAACCUCUCAACAACCUUGAGAUUUUUAUUUUUCCUUUUUCACAAACACAUCUUCAGUUUGGAUAAACAGCAUUGUAGUCGUAGAACCAUUUGACCGCGAAGCACCUUCAGUUUGGAUAAAUAGCACUGCUCCGAGACCGACUGGUUACCUAUCCAAGUCUCGGUUAUGAAGGAUUUUCGAGUCCUUAUUGGCAGAGGUCAUCUCAUUAGCCUUCUAGGUGAAGUGAGGUGUUACAGAUUACUGGGCUCGUCGCACUGAAUGUCGAGUUGUUUUAUGAUUGGAUAUUCAUAAGUAAGUUUUAGAGUUCGGCAUUCUGAUGGUCGAACCACAUUUACCAUCAAGACAUACAUCUCUUUUGAGUACUUGUGUCCAUAUAGUUUGGUGCCGGUUCGGUGUGCUUAUACUCUUACGAAUAUAAUCACCAUGACUGAACCCGGUGCCAACGAUCUGUGAACUUUGUAAGACUAGCAGCUUUGUCUUCAGGCUCUAGAACC
rnacentral:lncRNA from 1 species